UUUAAUCAUGAGAAAUAAAAAUGAUAUUAAUUUUUGAAUAACUUACAAAAUCAAUACCCAUUGAUUUUAUCUUUACAUGUAUAACCCGUUACAAUGGUAAUCAUCUCUGGGCAUUACAGUGACAUCCACUUUAAUCACAAUUUUCGAUAAUGGUAAUGGACAUGAAUGCUUUCUAAUGUAUAUGGAAGUCAUUUACAAUAAUAGCUAAACCAAAACAGGAUAUGAUUAAUCUUUAGUUUAAACUUCUUUCCAACAGUGACUUCAAGUCCACUCCUUAACUUUAGAGUUUACUAAUCUCACCAACUAGUGGUCAGAUCUGCAAACUACAGCCCUAUGAUCAGUAGCAACAGCUCUUUACAUCCUCAAAUUAACAAAAAUUCACAUAUUUCAUACACAGAACACUAUAGUAGAGCUUCUGUUUGAACUACUGCCAAAUCUGCAUGAUUUAAACAAAAACUUCAACCUUAUUCAAAACUAAAAGGGUUUAGCAAUUGAUGCCACAUGCUUAAAUGACCAUAGAUAUCAAAUUGACCCAUAUAAUUGAUCUACUUCAUUGUUUCCAACCCAGAUUGAAGUGAAAUGCGCAUUUAAACUUCACAUAAGAUAACAACAAACAAAUGCUCAUAAAUCAAACAAGAAUAGCAACAUUUCUGGUCAUUCGAUAAAAAUAUAAUACAUAGAAAAUUUGGCACUAACCUAGUUGAACAGGAAAACAUUAAAAGAUAAUCCAAAGAAGAGUCGAAUCUGAUCCAAAUUAGAAACUCAACAAUAACUUUAGGAGUAGAACCAAGGUUCCAGCAGUCAAUCAAACUUGUAAAAUCGAAAGAAAUGAAGCAAAAAAACAAAAACAAAGAAAAGUUUGGAAUUCCUUUUUUUCUUCUAUAUUUAAACUGAGUUUUCAGGGUGUCUUCUUUUUGAAAAAAUCAGUGAGGAAAAGGGAAUGUAUCAGUAAUUUCUGCAUGGAAUUUAGUGUGUGUGAGUGAGGGAAUGUGAGGUCUUGUAUAGAAAAAAGAAGAGGGAAUAAUCUGAGGAGUGUGCAGUCCCUAAAAAUAAGGAAAAUAGCAUCUUUUCUUAACAGAUUUGGACAACUGUCCUAUUUUAGCAUCUUUUUCCUAACAAUUGUCCUUUUUUUUCUUUUUAUUUUUUAGCAUCUCUUUUUCCUUCUAGAAACAUCUCAAAGACUCUCCUAAGUUUCCUAUUUCAAAUUACUCCCUCAAACUUCUAGUAUUUACAAACAAGCUAGAAAGAUCAGAUGGAUAGGUAAAACAGAGAAAUAUGCCGAUUAUCCUACCAAACAACUCAACAAACAACUUGCUUCAAUUGCUUAAAUUAAUCCAAAAUGAAUUAUCCUAACAAACUCAUACAAUUAAAAUACUUAACAUGCAAUUGAACUACUAAAAAUUAUCCUAACGAUUCAGGUAAUUAAACUAUCUAACACAUGCAAUUAACUAAUAACCUAAAUAAUGAACAUUUAAAAUAGUAAUUACUAUUAAGUGCAAGACUAACAAUUAAUUAAACUAAACGAGAAAGAAAAUGAUUACCUUGAAGAGUGUGAAAAAUUUGGAACUUUGACUGGUCGAGAACAAAUUGGCCGGACUCCGGUGCCUUCGACACGAACUAAAAUCAACAUCAAUCGAUUGCUCCCAUUGAGAACAAUCGAUUAAUGUAAAUUUCAUAUUGAAUCGAAUCUUGAAAUCUUGGAGAAUAAAAAAGAAAGAACCUAGGGUUUCUAGGGGUUUUUGAAUUUGAAAUUCAAAAGAUUUGGUGGGGUUUUUGGGGAAAACAAUGGUAGAUUAGGGUUAAGGGUAAGAUGAGGAUUGCAGGUGAAUAUUUGUGGUUGUUUGGAGCUUGCCCGCCGGUCAAAAUGGAGUUGUGGGUAUUAGGCGGCUCAGGGUUAGAGAGAUUUGGGAGAGAUGGGAGAAUGAGGAGGUCUUUUAG
rnacentral:lncRNA from 1 species